CAGCAGCCACGGUAAUACGUAGGGUGCGAGCGUUAAUCGGAAUUACUGGGCGUAAAGCGUGCGCAGGCGGUUCGUUAAGACAGAUGUGAAAUCCCCGGGCUUAACCUGGGAACUGCAUUUGUGACUGGCGAGCUAGAGUAUGGCAGAGGGGGGUAGAAUUCCACGUGUAGCAGUGAAAUGCGUAGAGAUGUGGAGGAACACCGAUGGCGAAGGCAGCCCCCUGGGCCAAUACUGACGCUCAUGCACGAAAGCGUGGGGAGCAAACAGGAUUAGAUACCCCUGUAGUCCCUGUCUCUUAUAC
rnacentral:rRNA from 1 species